rnacentral:rRNA from 1 species
GACGUAGGGCGCGAGCGUUGUCCGGAUUUAUUGGGCGUAAAGAGCUCGUAGGCGGCUUGUCGCGUCGACUGUGAAAACCCGCGGCUCAACCGCGGGCCUGCAGCCGAUACGGGCAGACUAGAGUGCGGUAGGGGAGAUUGGAAUUCCUGGUGUAGCGGUGGAAUGCGCAGAUAUCAGGAGGAACACCAAUGGCGAAGGCAGAUCUCUGGGACGUGACUGACGCUGAGACGCGAAAGCGUGGGAGCAAACAGG